rnacentral:rRNA from 1 species
UACAGAGGGUGCAAGCGUUAUUCGGAAUUAUUGGGCGUAAAGAGCGCGUAGGCGGCUCGAUAAGUUUGAUGUGAAAUCCCUGGACUCAAUCCAGGAAGUGCAUUGAAUACUGUCGGGCUAGAGUGCAGGAGAGGAUGGCGGAAUUCCUGGUGUAGAGGUGAAAUUCGUAGAUAUCAGGAGGAACAACAGAGGCGAAGGCGGCCAUCUGGACUGUUACUGACGCUGAGGCGCGAAAGUGUGGGGAGCAAACAGG